GCUACGCACAGUCGACUAAGGCCUACCUGCAUGAGUUAACCAUCUUGCGACGAAAUGUCAGAAAAGGCACCAGAGUGAAUAAAAACAGUAUAGAAAGGAGAAAAUAGAUAAACAAAAGGCAAACGGAUGAAUUGAGUUGGAUAGUUUUUGAAAGUGUAUUGAAAUUUACAGAGAAAUCGUUAGAAUUUCUAAAAGGAAUUUAUUGGUAAUAUUUUAAAAAUUGUAUAAUUAAAGAAUAAUGUUGACCAAUCGAUGUUUUGAUAGCCGCUGAUAGCCAAAUAACUGCUGGAUCCUGAGAGACCUGAAAAAAAGAAAAAUAUUGUAAAAUUAAUAAAGAAACUGUAAAAUGUAAGUAGAACCUGAAAAGAAAAGAAAUGAGAUUAAUUAAAUACAUAAAAUUUCAGUUUCAAGCUGCGAAACAAGAAAAUUGCUGCUUUGAAAAUUAGUUUGUUGUGACGACCCCGAACAAACUUGAAAAUUUUACAAUGGCAGAAUUGACCCUUUCACCCGAAGCUGCCGAAAAGACGGGUUACAAUUGUGCCGCUUGUGAGCGACCGGAUCACGCAGAGAAGGAUAUGGUGUUUUGUGACCAAUGUCAAAACUGGUAUCAUUUUGGAUGUGCCGGUGUAACGAAUGCGGUAAAGGACGAUUCAUCGUGGAUAUGCGGCAAGUGCAUGAAAAAUGCCGCUGGUAGUUCCGUGACGUCAGAGUUGGAGCAAGAAUUGAAAAGGCUCGAGGAAGAAAAAAGAGUCCAACAGCUAGCUAUGGAGAAGGAAAGAGUCCUGCAUAAACGGCGCCUGGAGCUGCAGCAGGAAAUGUUUCUGAUGCGAAAAAAACUGGAACAGGAGAAACGCGAAAUGGAGUUAGCCUUCGAAAAAGAGCAGUUGGAGAAGGAAAUCGCUGAGGAAGAAUCGUUCCAGAAGAAAAGUGAGCAGAUGAGAAAGGAGAUGCACGGUAAAUUGAAUAAGCUUAGACAGCAACGGAGCAAGGAUUUCGAUAGUGGUGUGAAAGAAAAAACGGAAGAAGCUGAAGGUUGUGAAGAUGAUUGCUCGAGUGACAAAGAAAAGCCGAAGCAGUCGGGACUGGAGAAAACAAAGCCAGGAAAAGCAGAAACCGAAAAAAAAAAGGUCGGAAAAAGGCAAACCUGGGAAAAUGGAUCUGGUCGAGACUGGCAACGGAGAUUUUCGAGGAGCAUAUCAAAAAUACUCCACUCCAAAAACAUGUUUAGUUCCGUUGGUCACAUCGCCAUCAUUGGAGGAAAUUCCGCCUGUCGACGCGGAAUCCGUAAAAGGUGAUACACAGGAAAAGAUCGAAAGUAAGAAGAACGACGCGGUUUCAAAUGACGUGCGAGAAGCAAAUGAGGACGAUAGUGAAUCCAGCGAAUCAAAUGAGGAUCACGAAUCGGUGACAGUACAAGCUGGUCAAAACAAGCAACAAAGAUGUCGUCGAGGACCUACCAAAGCUCAGCUGUCCGCCAGGCAGUUCCUGUCGAAGAAGUUGCCGGUAUUUUCCGGAAAGUUAGAGGACUGGCCGAUGUUCAUCUGCAGCUACGAAACAUCUAGCGAGGCUUGUGGGUUUUCGAAUGUCGAGAACCUGGCUCGACUACAAGAGUGCUUGAAGGGCCAAGCAUUGGAAGCAGUUCGUAGUAGGCUCCUACUUCCAGACGCAGUUCCACAGAUCAUUGAGACUCUCCGGAUGUUGUACGGUCGCCCGGAGCACCUUCUAAAUAUGCUAUUGGUGAAGGUGAGAAAGGCUCUCCCACCGAGAGCAGAUCGUUUGAUAACGUUCAUCAAUUUCGGGAUGAUUGUCCAGCAGCUUGCAGAUCACCUGGAAGCAACGAAGCUUACUUCUCAUCUUCUGAAUCCCAUGCUGAUUCAGGAGAUUACCGAAAAGUUGCCCGCAAGUACACAACUUGAGUGGGUGCGGUAUAGAAGGAGAGACCGUGUAGUCACGAUUCGAACUUUAGCCAACUUUCUGUCCGAAAUCGUGAAAGACGCCAGCGAGGUGACGUCAUACUGUGAAGCACCUGUAGUUGUAGACCACGCCAAUCGAAAGUCCAGAGGAAAGGAUAAAGAGCACGAAGGUUUCCUCCAUGCCCACUGUGGACAAGAAAACGCCAACAAAACUCAGGCGCCGAGGGUGAGAAAGCCAUGUAUGAUUUGCGACCGUACUGAUCACCGGGUAAGAAAUUGUGUAGCCUUCCGGAACCUCUCCGUACCACAUCGUUUGGAAGCGGUGCGUAAAUGGAAGUUGUGCUCGAUGUGUCUCAAUGAGCAUGGAAAUGCCCGCUGUAAGCUGAAUUUCCGCUGUAAUGUCGGGACCUGUAGAGAGCCUCACCAUCCUUUACUCCACGCGGCAGGCCCGGAAUCGGGAUCGAACUGCAACUUUCAUUCGUUUCAACGCAAGCAAUCGGUGAUUUUUCGAAUGAUUCCGGUCACAUUGCACUGGGGAAAUCAUACAGUGAACACAGUGGCUUUCCUGGACGAGGGGUCGUCCUACACAUUGGUGGAGAAGUCGGUGGCUAGCGCUCUUAGGACGAAUGGUGUAACGCAACCACUUCGUGUGACGUGGACGGCUGGAAUGUCCCGAUUGGAAAGGAACUCGCAGAAAGUAGAACUGUAUAUUUCGGCUCGAGGUUCAAGUCGCCGGUUCCACAUAAAAGCAGCUCAUACCGUGGAUAACUUGAGGCUUCCCCAGUCGACGCUAGCCCUGACGGAAGUAGUCAAGCAGUAUCCCCAUCUUCAAGAUCUAUCCGUGGUGGAUUUCCAACAUACUGUUCCGCAAAUUCUGAUCGGACUGAAAGACGUUCACUUGUGUGCACCGUUAGAAUCACGAAUCGGGAAAGCGGAAGAGCCAAUCGCUGUGCGGUCCAAGCUUGGUUGGACCAUAUUCGGACCUGUAAGCGGUGGUGUUGAGUCGAGCAUCGUUGGUCAUCAUGCGUGCAGCAGUGUUUCGAACGAGGACCUCCACGAUCUGUUGAAGAGCCACUACACGCUAGAAGAGUCUGGCAUUUCGGUUGCGCUGCUACCGGAAAGCGAAGAGGAUAGGAGAGCGAAAGAUAUCCUGACGCAAACGACGGUAAGAGUAGGUGAUCGUUUUGAGACGGGGUUAUUAUGGAGAUAUGAUAGUCCGUGCUUCCCCGACAGCUAUCCUAUGGCUGUGAAAAGGCUCAAGAGUUUAGAGAGACGUUUAUUGAAGGACAAUGAACUGUACGAUAAAGUACGGUGCAUGGUCUCGGAGUACCUAACCAAGGGCUAUGCGCACAAAGCUUCAGAGUUGGAGCUAGCAGACACCAACCAGAGUAAGGUGUGGUAUUUGCCAUUGAACGUGGUUAUUAAUCCGAAGAAACCGGGUAAAGUCCGCCUUGUUUGGGACGCAGCUGCGGCUGUAGCUGGGGUGUCCCUGAAUUCAAAACUCUUGAAGGGUCCCGAUAUGCUGACUGCUCUCCCAGCAGUUAUUUGCAAGUUUCGAGAGAAAAAAGUGGGUUUUGGUGCAGACAUCAAAGAGAUGUAUCAUCAGUUGAAAAUUCGAAAAGAAGAUAAGCAAGCGCAGAGGUUCCUGUUCCGAGAGAAUCCAGCCAGCGCUCCGGAGGUAUUUAUUAUGGACGUUGCUACCUUUGGGGCGACCAGUUCACCUUGCUCCGCCCAGUUUGUGAAGAACAUGAAUGCAAAGGAGUUCGCAGGGCGGUUUCCAGAGGCAGCGAGAGCGAUUCUAGAGAACCAUUACGUCGAUGAUUAUUUCGAUAGCACGGAGACAGUCGAGGAAGCAGUGAAGCUGGCGAAGGAGGUAACGUUUGUUCAUUCAAAGGGCGGCUUCGAGCUUCGAAAUUGGGUCUCUAGUUCAGAGGUGUUCCUGCGAGAAAUGGGGGAGACAAAAGAAAAUCAAUGUGUUCAUUUUAAUCAAGACAAGGAAACAGGGCAAGAAAGGGUCUUGGGAAUAGUGUGGAAUUCAGUAAGCGACGAGUUUACGUUCUCAGCAAGGUUACGUGAAGAUUUGCUGCCGUACCUGAUAGGAGAGAGGCGGCCCACGAAAAGGGGGGUCAUGAGCUGCAUCAUGAGCUUGUUCGAUCCCAUUGGGUUUUUGGCUUCCUUCACUAUUUAUGGAAAAAUGCUUAUUCAAGAUCUUUGGCGCAGUGGAUGUGCCUGGGACCAGCAGAUCAACGACGAGUGUAGCGAGAAAUGGAAUCGUUGGGUCGGUCGGCUUCCAGAAAUCGAAAGAGUGCGGAUCCCUCGUUAUCACUUCACGGGAGGAUUAUCUGUGGACUACAGUACGUUGCAACUACACGUUCUUGUCGAUGCUAGUGAGAAUGCAUAUGGUGCUGUUGCAUAUUUCCGUGUCAUGACUGCUUCUGGUCCUAUUUGUUCGCUUGUGAUGGCACGUUCCAAGGUUGCACCUUUGAAGCAGCUGUCAAUUCCGCGCCUGGAACUACAGGCCGCGGUACUAGGUUCUAGAUUGCUAAAUUCCAUCAUCGAUAACCAUUCCGUAGAGGUGAAACAGCGGUUUAUUUGGACAGAUUCGAGGACAGUACUUUCUUGGAUCCACUCGGAUCAGCGACGCUACAAGCAAUUCGUUGCUUUCCGAAUUGGUGAAAUCCUUAGUCUCACGAAGCUCGAUGAAUGGCGGUGGGUUUCCACUAGAAACAACAUCGCUGACGACCUAACCAAAUGGGAUCGAGGACACAAUCUAAAUUCGAACGGUCCUUGGUUUCGGGGUCCACAUUUCCUGUUCCAUCAGGAAGAUUCCUGGCCAGAACAGAAGCGCGUAACACCGAAUGUGCCUGAAGAGAUACGUGCCCACAUACUGUUCCACGACAUUUCACUGUCAGAACCUGUAAUCGAUCCGUUGCGUUUUUCAAGAUGGAAGGUCUUAGUUCGAACGAUAGCCUGCGUCUACCGGUUUGUUUCGAACUGCAAGCGAAAAAAGGAAGGAUGGGCCAUCGAAGGUGUACCAACGACCGAUGCUCUCAAGAGAAAAGUAAAGGCAAAAAUUGCAUCUACGGUAGUUCCUUUGCAACGAGACGAAUACCAAAAAUCAGAAGCAUAUUUGUGGCGAUUCGCACAAGCGGAAGCAUACGGGGAUGAGGUGAAAACUCUCCAGAAAAAUCUUAAAGUGGGGAACGAGAAACAACGACAGCUGGAAAAAUCGAGCAGUCUAUACAGUCUGAGCCCAUUCUUGGAUGCACAGAACGUUCUUCGGAUGGAAGGGAGAACCGCACAAGGUACGUUCUUACCGUUCGAACUACGUUUCCCAAUUAUACUCCCUAAAGGACAUCCAGUUACCGUUAAACUUCUGGAACAUUAUCAUCAGAGAGUGGCACACGGCAAUCAAGAAACGGCGGUAAAUGAAAUACGACAAAGGUUUUGGAUUCCCAAUCUCCGAGCGGAACUCAAACGUAUUUCAAGAGCUUGCAUGCGAUGCAAGGUGAGGAAAUGUGAGCCAGGUCAUCCGAGAAUGGCUCCUCUUCCGAUUUCGCGGAUCUCGCCUGGAUUGCAGCCGUUCAGCUACACAGGGGUGGAUUAUUGUGGUCCAUUGACUGUCUCCGUCGGGCGCAGAUCAGAGAAAAGGUGGAUUUGUUUGUUCACGUGUUUGACGACGAGAGCUAUUCACAUUGAGGUUGCUCAUAGUCUGACGACUCAAUCGUGCCUGAUGGCCAUACGGCGAUUCGUGAGCUACAGAGGAGGUCCUCUUGAAUUCUUCUCAGAUAAUGGGACGAAUUUCCAUGGCGCCAGCAAAGAAAUUGUUAAGCAGAUGGAGAUUAAUUGUGAAGAUGUGUUCACCGAUUCGAGAACCAGAUGGAAUUUCAAUCCGCCUUCCGCACCUCAUAUGGGUGGGGUGUGGGAGCGAAUGGUGCGCUCCGUUAAGACGGCGUUGAAAGCGUUGGAUGAUGGCCGCCGAAUGACGGACGAAGUACUCCUGACCGUGUUGGCAGAAGCGGUGGAUUUAAUCAAUUCUCGGCCACUGACAUACGCUGGCCUGGAACCUGAUGCAAAGGAAGCGCUAACACCAAACCAUUUUGUUCGCGGCGUAGGACUAAUGAGUUCUGAGUCGUUUAUCAGACCUACCAAUGAAGCAGAGGCACUGCGGGACAGCUUCAAGCGGUCACAGUUUUUGGCUGAUUGUUUGUGGAAACGAUGGACUUCUGAGUAUCUCCCGACGAUCAAUCAUCGCAGCAAAUGGCACUCUGAAAUGCCUCCUAUUGCAAAAGGUGAUCUUGUGUAUAUUGCGGACGAGAAUAUCCGAAAGCAUUGGGUUAGAGGGGUUGUAACCGAGGUAUUCAGUGGUGCUGAUGGUAGGAUCAGACAGGCUUUGGUGAAAACAGCAAAGGGUGAGUUCAGGCGGCCGGUGGUGAAGCUUGCGGUGCUUGAAGUCCAGGGUCGUAAAUCUACUGCGGCUGACGCUUUCGCACCAGAGUUACGGGGAGGGGCUAUGUACACACCGCUACGCACAGUCGACUAAGGCCUACCUGCAUGAGUUAACCAUCUUGCGACGAAAUGUCAGAAAAGGCACCAGAGUGAAUAAAAACAGUAUAGAAAGGAGAAAAUAGAUAAACAAAAGGCAAACGGAUGAAUUGAGUUGGAUAGUUUUUGAAAGUGUAUUGAAAUUUACAGAGAAAUCGUUAGAAUUUCUAAAAGGAAUUUAUUGCCGCUGAUAGCCAAAUAACUGCUGGAUCCUGAGAGACCUGAAAAAAAGAAAAAUAUUGUAAAAUUAAUAAAGAAACUGUAAAAUGUAAGUAGAACCUGAAAAGAAAAGAAAUGAGAUUAAUUAAAUACAUAAAAUUUCAGUUUCAAGCUGCGAAACAAGAAAAUUGCUGCUUUGAAAAUUAGUUUGUUGUGACGACC